AAGGGCAACCAAGCUGGUGAAGGGUCUGGAGCACAGGUCUUAUGAGUAGCAGCUGAGGGAACUGGGGGUGUUUAGCCUGGAGAAGAGGUGGUUUAGGAGGGACCUUAUUGCUCUCUACAGCUACUUGAAAGGAGGUUGUAGCAAGGUGGGGGUUGAUCUCUUCUCCCAAGAAACAAGCAACAGGACCAGAGGAAAUGGCCUCAGGUUGCACCAGGGGAGGUUUGUAUUGGAUGUUAGGAAAUAUUUCUUCAUGGAGAGGGUGGUCAGGCACUGGAACAGGCUGUCCAGGGAAGUGGUAGAGUCACUUUCCCCGGAGGUAUUUAAAAAACAUGCAGAUGUGGCACUUGGGGACAGGGUUUAGUGGUGGGAUUGGCAGUGCUGGGUUAAUGGUUGGACUCGAUGAUCUUUAAGGUGUUUUCAAACCUAAAAAAUUCCGUGAUUCUCUAAUUUUUGCACAAUAACUUUUGCCUAAUAAUUUCUCAUAAUAACUUUUGUCCAAGGAUCGUCUUACAAAGCGCAGCUCCAUUUGCAGUGUGAAAAAAGGCUCUGAAAGAGAACUUGUCUGUGCUAGUCUGAGUUCUGCAAUACUUGCAAUGAUCAGAUAAGUCUCUUUCUGACUCUCUCCCACUGACUGGGUUUGCUUCUCACUAGUUAUUUUCCUUUCAGGUAUAUUUUGAAGAUUAAUGAAUAUUUAUGUUGCACAUGAAAAAUGCAACAGAAGCUGAAGAUGUCAUAAUUACUGAUGCUUAUUAUUUUUUAAAAAGGAAGACUACAAGGCAAUCGAUAUCCAUGGAAAAUCAUGAACUAUAAAAAUAGAGUGAGGACUCCAAAGGUACUACAGGAAAUUGUGGCUUGAGGAAGAAAGCCUUGCAAUGGCACAAGUUUCCCUGGUGAUGACACUAUGAGAGGCUGUACAGAAUGGCACAGACCUGUCCACUCUACAGCAGUAGAAGUAUGGAUGCACAACUGAAAGCAGGAUUUUGUUCACCCUUACCUGACGAGUCCCUCUGGGACUGGUGCAGAUUUUAGUUUUAAUUUAACUGUAACAGUGAUGCUGGGAAGCAGAAUUAUUGAUGGGAGAAAUCUGACUGGGGCCCUCCCUGACACUUUGGUUUGUCAGAGGUCAUUCUGUUUGGAAUCAUUCAGUGAGAUUAAUUGCACUCAAAAUUAUGCUUCAAAUUGGUGUUGUUGGAGACUUUUGUACUGCUGGUGUUUAAGGUAAAAGCCCUGUGCAACAGAUGGUGGAUACUCUAUACUGACAAUAUUUGGAUCCAAGGAUUUAUCUGGUACACCACAAUCCCCUGUUUUGUGAGAAUGUUUUUGAUACAAAAUAAAUACAUUUUCAGUGGUCAGUAGCCAGGCUCACUGACCUACUUCUGCCUGCAGAUUUCUUCUUUGCCUGAGCAGAGCCACGCACAGAGGAACUCGUGGCAGGAGUGCUGUGUGCCUGUGCUAACAAAGGGUUUGGGUUGAAGAUUUGGUGCAUUACUGGCAGGCAUGACCUUCCACAGGUCUCUAGUUCUCACUGUUCCACCUUAAGUCAGCAGGGGCUGCCUGUGCCUCUUCUCUUUGAAAGUCAACCCCUAGAUGUUACCUUCAGGCUUGUAGCUGCUUAGUUCAAGUCACAGGAUUACACUUGUGCUAACCUGUCUGGAGCUUUGUGAUGCAGAUGCAAAAACAUCAGAGAAAGAUUAAUACAACCAGCCAUUGAUUUAUUAUGUUCUAGGAAGCAAGGAAUAAAGCAGGCUGGCAUGAUGCCCUGAGCCCAGCCUCCAUGAUGAUUUCUCUUGUCCUGACAUACAUCCACUAGCAUUUAUCUUGUCUGUUCACCUUCCUCUUCCUCUGGUUUCUGAAACUUCAGGAGUUUAUUUUGGCAGGCGUGCUCCUCGCUGCUGCUGCUGCUGCUGCUGGAGCUUUCCUCUGAGCUCUUGGAGAGGAGAUACUUGAUUGCAAUCGUGUCCUUCUUGUUCAUUUGCAAGCAGAGGCAGGAGGAUUUGCUCACCUUAAAUGACUCCCCCCACAUAUUCUGGCACAUGUCAGUCCCAUUUGCAUACAUCUGUGUGACAAAUAAGAAAUGCCUCCAUUACAUUUUGAAAGAUUUGAGUUAAAAUCAGUUUGUAACAAAUUGAUAAACAUUUAUCACUUUUUAAAAAUUGGUACUAGCUUAUAGAAAAGUUAUCUGCAUUCAUUUACUGUCCUGCUAUGUGCCAUACUUCAUCUUUUCUGAAAUAUCUUAAAAUGUUAUCCAGUCCCACAGCUGGCAAGAGUGAUUUGCCUGUUGUGAGAGCAAGUGGCUACACAAAGUGCAGGGAUCAACAGCUGCCCUUUGUUUCCACCCUGGGGCUGACAGCCCAGCAGCUCGCUGGGGCUGACAGACCAAAGCUGUGUGUGAGAGGCUGUACAAAUUGUAGCAUGUCAGGACACUCUGACAUGCCUCAAAAUCUGAGUAGUGCUGAAAGUGCCAGACAGUGCUUUGAAUAUGGGAAUCCUUUUAUCUACAGGCCAGAGACAGCCCAAUGGAAUAACAGCUCUGAGGGAUCUCAUUGUGCCUCCUGCAAUGUACUUCAUGUCCAGGCAGGACCUCAAAGACAAAGAGAAGGGACAUAACUUAGCAACUGCUUGAAGAAAGUAACUUUUCUUCAAGCUUCCCGAGCGCUGUGUCCAGUGGUGCAACGGCCCCUCUGGCUCAAGGAAUUUCCAAUUGCAGCUUCCUGUACUCUCCUCAAGUGCAUCUGUCCUGUUUUUGGUGCUACCUUGUUUUGUAAGGCCGGUGUCAUAGGACCUGUGAAGCACACAGCAGUUCUGAUAACCUUCUGCCCACCCCGCUGAGUUUGCCUAACAAGUAUUAGCUUAGGAGUUAUCAUGCCCAGACACAAAGCAGGCAGUAUGUACAGUUCAUCUUGCCUGCAUUUCUCCCACGUGUUUGUGGUUGAAGUUCAAUCUUUUCUGUUUCCUGGAAAGGAAGCUUUAGGUACUCCCAGAAACAAAGCUAAGAAUGAAGUUGGGGGUGGGAGUGAUGGCAGGAGUGUUAAUAACUGAAAGUGUAGGUCAGGCAGCAGGAUCGCUGGGCUCUGUUACUGACUGAUUCACCUUGAUCAUGUCACCAGCAUCUCUCUGAUGGAAGCUGGGUUUCAUCUGUAAUAGUACAAGUGUUCCUUGCCCAUGACACUGAUUCUUUAAUCCUACAGUGUUUCUCAAAGUGCUGUAAUUCCUGGUUGGUGUGCUGAUUUACCACCAUCACCAGCUCAUACAAAGAUCUGGCACUGUGAAUCUGUGCAGAUGCCUUGUCUUUGUGGUUGGGAGACUUCUGGAUGGAAGCUGCUCUGUGUGCAGAAAAUUUAAGUCUAUUAGGCAGAAGUGGCAUUGGGUAUCUGUAGUACUGCAGCUUCUUCUGCUCCAGUUAUUUUUGACAACAAGUUUUUCUUACAUCUCCCUGUCUCCCCAUGUGCAAAACAAUGUUGACCUAUACUGUAAGGAAGGCAGAUGAGAAGAAAGCAUAAUAAUCACUUUUGCCUUAGAAUUCUAUCCUUUAUGAAUAACGGAGUCCAUUCCAAAUAGCCCCAAAGACUCUGUAGUCUGUAAAAUAGCUUUUCAAUUCAUACCAUCCCUAGCCAGGGCUUUUGCCAUGAAUGCUGGAGAAGGAGUAUGGAGGUUGACUCGUGCACUGGGAGCAAUGCAGGGUCAGAAAAGGAAACACUAAUCCACCUAGUUCUUUCCUUAUGUUCUUGGGCAGGCAGAUCUUAGCUCUUUCUUUCCCACUAUUCCUGUGAUUUUAUGUAGCACUAAACGUUUUCUUCCAGUUCCUGUGCAGUUCCUAGAUUUUGACCUGCUUUUUGGUAAUCAUUCAAGAAAGCAUUUAAACCUAUCAUGUGGGUUUUCUUGGGUCUGUAUGCAAGAGACAUGGCUAUAUUCUAUUCUUGUGUCCCACAGGUUCUGUAACACAUGCUCGUGCUCUUCUACUUGCUAAAUUGGCAAUUUUAUUUUGACCUUCCUCCUAACUCUGCUUAAAGAUCAGAACACAAUCAGAAUGCUGCAGCAAGCCAACAGUGCACACAGCCCAUUUACCCAGCAUGUCCCUAAGUUACUGCAAAGGACUUUGACUUUUUAGCUUCUUGGAAAAUGUUCUAGUCUGUGCAUUAACAUUGCUCGGGGAGCACUCAGCUGGGACAACAGUGACAAAAUGUGCCUCGUUUUAGCCAGGUUAAAACUGGCCAUGAUCAGUUGUGCAUCCUUAAUAUUCAGCCUUUGUUCCUUAUUCAGCAGUUGUUCCAAAGACCCAUUAGAUCCAGUUGCAUAUGUCACAUGUAGGGUUGCUGAUUGCUCCUCUGUGGGAGCUGAGGGCAUCAAAAAAAAAAAUUAGGAACUGUCCACAGUGCUCUGAGGUUGGAAAACCCUCUGUGCCUCUGGGUAACAGUAUCUUUCUUUUCCAUGAGUUGAGUCCAAACCAAUCAAGUCUAGUGUUUUUAUAUCAUGUAAAUGUCAUAUGGAAAAUGCUUUUUUUAAAAAUUUCUCUGAAGAAACUUCAUCUUUAUUUCUACUUACCAUGCAAGCCUAUUUUUGGUGAAAAACAUGGACAGUUUAGGGUGUGGUUCCAUUUAGUUUAGGAAUAGCUGCGCCUGGUCUCAAGUGAUAAGACCUCGGGAUUUGCUGCAUGUUUUUCCCUGCAGAUGGUAUAUUUUCUUUAAGAAAUACAUACAGGGGAACUCAAGGUUAAAAACUCCUAUCUCUGAACCAGGGACAGUUUGAACAGAGACUGGAGAUUAUUUACGGAGAUUAUCAUUUUGUUUUUCACUUCAUCUGGAACUACUGAUGAUUUAGCACAUCUGGGAAACGAAGCUUUAAGUUUCCACAGCCCAUUUGUUUUUGGCCACCUUCCUGAGCCUGCUGAUUAGUGUCACUUUUGCAAGGCAGACAGCAGUCCUGCACUAACUGGACUGUGUCUUCCACUUAUAUCAGUUGCUGAACUGACUUUUGAAAGUACAGGAAUUUGAAUUCAAUUCAAAACAUUGAAUCUGCAAGCCUUACUACCAGUCCCUAAGCACCUCACUUAAAUUUGGUUUAACUUCCGCAAUUUGGACAGUUUUUCAUGGACUCAGUAAAGUUCAAUUGUUAAAAAUA